GGGGGGAUGGUGCUCAGGAGACAAAGUCCAGCCACACUUUGUCUUUCAGGAGUGGUUGUGGUGCCAGUGUUUUGGCUCCUGGAAGCCUUCUCAUUGGCCUGACAUGGUCUUCAUACACUCUGCUACCUUAGCACCAAGCUUGUGGAGGAUUUUAAGCACAGGAAUUAACUGUGGAUUUCAUAGUACUGAUAUCAGAACCUUACAAGAUGCAUCAUACCCAGUGAUUAAGACUUAAAUUUUAAUAAGGUGGUGUUUUUCUUAAGAUUUUUUUAAAAAUCAUGUUUUCCUGAGAGGUAUAGUCCCCCAGAUAAACAAAUAAGCCCACUCUAACAACCCUCUGGGGUCUACAAAUGAUUAUAUAUUUUUACUAAACAUAAAAGUUGAGUUCUAGCUUUUUCCUGUAAAAGGCAGUAUCACAGGGCAGUAUAGGGAAGAAGUUAAGGCUGGGAAGCUAGACCACCUGGGAUCAUAUUCUAGUUCUGCCACUUGUUAGCCGUGUGACUAUCCUGUCACUGUCCUUUACCUCUCUGUGCCUCAGUUUGCUCACCUGUAAAAUGGAGAAAAUAGUUGUAACUUAUCUUUAGGAUUGAAAGAGUUUAUCUGUACACAGUUCUUUAAAUGUUGCCAGGCACAUAAUAAUAGCAAGCACUGGCAUUGUUCUUUCUGUAGUUAGUACUCACUUCCUUAGGCUUUGUAAUGUCCCGUUCUUGUGAUGUGAGAUGUUAAGUUCACCUACUUUUUCACCAAGAGUGGGGACACAGAAUGAAAGACAGCCGUCAUUCGGGGUAGUGUGUUCAUUUUCUGUUGGAUUUGAGCAAAUGUGUACAUGACAAGAAGAAUACAGUGAGGACAGUGAAAAUCCAGCAGCAUGGCUUUUGUCUCCACAGCCGGAAGAGUGAAAUAAGAGAACCUGAACCUCAUCUGUGUUCCCACUUCCUUCCCGGUAUGUCUUGCUUUCCAUUCUGUAUCUUUGCAGUAGCUCAGGGUAGAGGUAGAAGGGGGACAGUUUCUAAAUCAAACAAUAAAAAUGUGAUAGUUACUAGGAAAAAUUUUAUAGAGAAUCUCAAACAUGCUGAUCCUACUGGAUCAAACCCGCACUAACGAAUGAGGGCUUGAUUUUUCUUUGUAUACAUUUGUCUGAGGGAGUCAAAAAACAACUCUUACAAAUAAAGAUGCUAAUAAGGUAUAAAACACUCAUUUGAAAGGAUAAUAUGCUCCCCUAUGUUCACUGCAGCAUUAUUUAAUGUACAAUAGCCAAGAUUUGGAAGCAGCCCAAGUGCCCAUUAUUAGAUGAGCGAUGAAACAGCAUUGAUACGUUUACACAAUGGAAUACUACUCAGCCAUAAAGAGAGGGAAAUCUUACCCUUUGUGGCAGCAUGGAUGAACCUGGAAGGACAUUGUGAUACAUGCUACCACCUUGAUGGACCUUGAAGACACUAUGCUCAGUGAAAUAAGCCCAUCACAAAAAGACAAAUACUGUGUGAUUCCACUCAUAGGAGGUCCCUAGAGUCUUCAGUGUCAUAGAGACAGGUACAUUAAGAAAACCAAAUGAUGCCAGUGUGGGGAGUCGCCAUUGUGUGCAGGUGCAGGGAGUUGCAUAUCAGGCCAGCUGCUACCUUCUCACACAUUUGAGGACAGCUGAGCAGGCCCACCCGAUGCACAGCCACCUGCAGCUAACAGAUGGGGACCCUGCAUGGUGACCCCACCUGCCAGCAGUGCCAGUGUCGCCCAUGAGAAAAGUGCCAAACAGCACUCAAAAUGGUGGUUUAUUUUCAACAUUUACAUUAAUAAACAUUUUAACCCCAAACAACUGAUUCCAUAUAAUUUUUCUAUCAAAAGAAAAUUGUAGAAUUUACCUUCUAAAGUAAUAACUCCUAGCACUGUGUUGGUGUGUGUCCACUGCAGGACACACAUUAGAAGCAGAUGGCAUUGUUGCUCAAGGCUGUCAAUGUCUUUAACUUCAUCGGAAGGUAGGGCCAAAGGUUUAAAUUUAAGGUCUUAAGGUUACAAUGAAAAAAGUCCCUUCCCAGUGCAUGCACGUAGACACACACACUCACAUUCAUACACAUUCAUUAACAAUCAUUUAUACACACCGACAUUCACACAUUCACAAUUACAUCCAUUUACACACCCAUUUGUUGUGAGGGGCUGGGCUUGAUGCCCAUCAGUGCUGCACCUGGCAUCCCUGUACCUGUUAUUGGUCCCAGGGAAUGUGUCCUCCUCACUCCCCAGAUUUAGCCAAUGUCAAGAUCUUCUGCUUCUGAAACAUUAUUAACAGUUUGCUUGGGUUUCCUUAAACUUCUUCCUGGUGUAGCCGUUCCAGCUCAACCACAGCACACCAGUUGCCCCCCCCAGACUGGCAGGCCACUGUGUCAGAUGAUGAGCAGCAUGACAGUUGCAAAAUAAAAAAAGGAGAAAGGGAAAGAAAGUCAUCAAACCCACGUUUCAUAGGAUCAUUAAGAGCUCCUAAGGAAAUGCUGAGCUCUGUAGAAUCUUCACAUCCCAACCUCUCCUUUAUGGAUAAUUUUCUUUUUUUGCCUGUCACGUGAAAUGCAUCUUAGAUGAGAAGAGAGAAAACAGCCCCAAUCCUGCCACUGGCUGAUGGGAGGGGAUGCAGUCUGGUUCCCUCCUUGGGGAUGUGCCCAUGAGUGUUGAGGCAGCCCUAUCAGACUCCCUGUCUAUCUCCUUUCAUGCGAAUUUACUAGAACAGGUCAGUGUUGUAGACUCAGAUGUAGGACCACGUUUCCAACACAGCACAAGGCAUGAGCAGCAUCACUGUAGCAAAGGCAGGCUGACACAUUAGUGACAGUAGCAAGAAAGACAGGAUACUUGCUGACAUUUACCAUGUGUCCAGUGUCAUGGUAUGGACUAUCCAUGAAUUGACUUCAUUUAAACCUCAAACAGCCUAGGUUGUAAUUAGUUAUUACCCCACUGGACAGAUGCAGAAAUUGAGGGUUAAAUAUCUUUCUCUAGAAAGGUCAAAAGUGGAGAGCAGAGCCUGACCUUUUCCCCUGGGGAAAGUAAUAAAUGCACAUGUUUAACAUACAAAAUAGUGCAGAGGGCUGAUUAGACAGGGAGAGAGAUGGGGAAAAGGAGAGAGAUGGAUGAUGGGAAAAAGGGAUGAAGGAGGGGAGGCAAGGAGAAGGGAGCUAGAAGAGAGGAGGUGAGGAGCCCACUCGCCCACCUCCCCACCUCCAGUCCUGCUUCUCAGAGGAACCCCUUCUGUUGGCUCUGAGGUUAUAUCUCCAGGGGUCACCUCCAUACCUUUUGAUUAACCUAACACACUUUGACCAGCUUCAGUGCUUUUCCUGCUGACAGGUAGGGAGGUGGAUCGCCCCAGCUCCCAGUACAGUCACAUCAGAGUCUGGCAUAUUUGCAGGUGUAUCUGCAACAACCAUCGAUUUGUAGCACUUUCCCCUAAUGAGGGAGGUUCCCUUGAUGCCCCACUGUGCAUGUGAAGGUGGCCACAGAGUCAGCCUUCUCUCCCCAACCUCUCUACUGCCGAUGACAGACAAUUCACCUUGUUAAGGUUGACAGUCCUUAUAGUCUCUGGUGUUUUGCAUAUAGAGUUCAGAAAGUUGAAAACCAAUUAACCUGAAUUAGCAUAGCUAAUCACUGUAACAGACACUUCUCAAAAUGAAGAGUGGCGCAAACACAAUCAUUUGUUUCCUGUGUACCUGCUUGUGAAGGUAAGCAGGUUUGUGAGCAGCCACACGGGACCCCAGAUACAAGGUUCUGCCUCCCUGGCCCUGUGAGUUCCACAGCCAUCCUCAGUCAUCCCAUCUGAGCCACUGCCUGGAGGACCCCUGCAAGGUCCCCUGACAUGGGUUGUGGCACCUGGUCACAUGACCUCCCAGGUGGGAAGUCCCCUGGCUGGCCAACCUCCUGAAGCUCAUGACAUCUACACCCCUGUAUCAAGGGACCGAGUGCCUGACCUGCCUCUGGGUUGGACUUUUUCUACUCACAGGAGAGGUCCUAGUGCCAAACUCAGGAGUGUUUCUUUCUUACACUUUACCAAGUAUUCAAACCAACCCUUGUUUUCCCCGAACCAGAUUGGGCCAUGCAUUUAUUAUGGAGUGUUUCCUUAGGGUUUCUAAUUGCCUUUCCCUGUUGUGAGAGCAGAAAUUCCAAGUCUCGUCACAUGCUCAGACCAUUCUCAGACCCACUCUGUUUCCUCCGUGGUAGGUGUGCUCUCACGCUGCCUCUGAUUAGACUAGCAGCCCCAUAGCUGGACCAUAACUGCUUGUCUCGCUUUGGAGUGGCUAGUGAUCUUUUUCCUUCAUUCUCCACCUUCUGUGGUCCCCAUUUCCCACCCUCUUAGAUUUCAUUACCAAGUCUGUGGGCACAACCCCCCAGGAACAUCUCUCCUAGGCCCAUGAGUAGUGUGCCUCUGUGUAACUGGCUGCACACCAGCCACCCAGAUGUGCCCUGGCUCCAUGGCAUCGGACUUUUGGCACCUUGGACCCUGAUGUUUCAUCCUUUGCACAAAGCAACAUGAAGCCAGUGUGAUUGUAAGUGCCUCUCACAGGUAGCCCAGAAGGCGACAACCAGAGACUAAAUCCUAUAGUGUCUAUCGUGUCCCUGUACUGUGAGAACACUUCUAGCAACUGUCCCUACGCUUCAGGGCUACUCAACAACAGAAGGCCACUUAGAGCUGUAUGUGGGUGAACACCUAAAAUGAUCUGAGUAUCUUUAAAAAGAUAUUCAGACACCUGUGUGUGUUUCACAGUCUACAUGCAGACACUCUCAGGGGAGAAUAACCAUAUUCUACCCUACUUACUGCAUCUCACUUUCAAAGCUUUGGGCCUGAUUUAAUGUCUGCAGUGUCUCAGAUAUUUUGACAAGUGUUUCCCUAUCACUUGUCUCAUUUGCACCAAAGUACUAUAGGCCUCUUCGGGGGGAGUUGAACAGUUGACUCAACAGACUUCUGGAGUUCUUACAUGUGCCUGGCACUGUCCUGGGUGCUGGAGAAUUGGUGAAGCUGCUCUCUAUCCAGACUGCAUAGUGAAUGCACGUGAGGAAAGUGCACAGAACUAAAUACUCAUGCACAAAUGGGCAACAAGAGAACCAGGA